AAGCCUGUAAGUUAAAUUUAAACUGAGGGGUUCAUGUCCCCUUAUUAUACCUUAUGUGUCUGGCUGA
rnacentral:tRNA from 1 species